UUUUGGUGGCUAUUUUUUUUAUCAGAGACUCUUACAUUCAGUCUGCAUCCACAGUUAAUUCCUGUUUUUUUUUUUUUCUUUUCUUUUUUUUGCCUAUCUUAAUCCAAUAGUUUCUCAGGUUCUUGCUGUGUAACCAGGCUGGCUUAGAACUCCCAGCAGUCUCCUCGACUUUUGUUUAUUUAAAAAUGGCACCUUGUUACUUAGCUGUGACUGAUAGGAACAAACGGUUAUAGUGCUACCUUAUCCUGAGUUCUGGGUUUUCAGUAUAAGAGCAUUAGUCCAGAUUCUUAAACAACGCCCAAAGACUCUUAAUGUUAUACUUGCCUUCUGUAAGUUUGUCGUUUAUUUAUUUAUUGAAUCUUGUUUAGCUUUUGUUUUUGUUUUUCUUCUCUGUGCAGUGUCUUUUUGUAUUUUUCACUGGGAUGUUUGUGCUGUGUGCUUCCAACCUGGCUCUUCUCCUUAAACCUUAGUUCUACACUUGGACAUCACUGUCUCAGCAACACCCCUCUUUCAGUUUUAAGCAGCAUGUAUGGGUCAGUUUCUGCUAUAUUGCUGUUUUCAGUGAAAGUGGGAGUUAGGUAUUUAGGGUGGGCAUCCUGCUCACAUUCACUCUUGGAAACAAGUGUUCCUGCUUCAAGGAUCUGUGUGUGCAUUGUCUGAGCAGUCAUGUAUCCAAGAAGAUAGUAGGUUCUGUCCAGCACGGGGCUGGUCUUAAAUGGACUCAUUGUUCUAAAUCUGAGAAAAGAUGAGUUUGUGUUCAAGGUAGUUUAUGUUGAUGUCUAGUAUACCCGUGGUUAAUUGCUGAGUGAAGCAGGACGGAGCAUUUCCUAACUUGUUUUGACUGGCCCAUGUUAAACUUAAACUCAUGUGAAAAUAAGCUGCUGGUUUCAAAGAAAUGUGUUCAAGUGUACCUUUUGGGUACUAAUUUUCACAUUGAUUUCUCUUAAGUUGGCACUGUCACCAUGCAAAAAGGUGGGAACAUGAACAUGAGCAGUUAUGGUUAAACAGGGUUUGCACCCAGCUUAGAACUAGCUAGGUUUCUUUGCUCUACAUUUUGGAAUAAGUUACUUCCUGUGUUAUGUGUGAUUCAGCAAAUAAUGGUGUUUGUUUCUGUGUUGGGGGCCACAUGGCAGCAUGAUGGAAGGAAGCACAAGUUUGGAGGCCAGAGAGACCCAUGUUUGAAGUAGGAUUUCUGUGUAGCUAUGUGACCUUGUUUCAGUUGCUUUUGGGUGUUUGGCUUUGUGGCUCUUGGAAAGCAUGAGAUAAUCGUAUAGACAUGCCUGGCACAUCAGUGGAGUUGAGCUGCUGCUACUGUUAGCUUCCUGACUAGUCUCUCCCGUUCCCUAAACGUGCAUAUGGACGUUUGAGAGCUGCCCAUUGCUGCGCUUGGUUUCACAGGUAGAAGAAGUCAGAGAUGCCAUGGAGAAUGAAAUGCGGACCCAACUUCGACGGCAGGCAGCUGCCCACACUGAUCAUUUACGAGAUGUCCUCAAGGUGCAGGAACAGGAACUGAAGUAUGAAUUUGAACAGGUGAGGACCUGUGCUCGGGCUUCCGCUCCUUCCUCCCCGGGGCCUCACACAUGUUGCCUGUCCUGUACAGCUGCACCACAUCCUUCCUUAGCCUUUCUCCUUCCUGUGCACUCUGAAGAUAAGAAUAAAGUGGUACCUAGCUUGGGUGAAAUAGGCUUUUUGUUAGUUAUAAAUUACAGAACCAGUUCGUUUUACAUCAGCCAUGCUGUGUUCAUGGUCAGGUAUGUAGAUCUGAAAAUAUGUGUGGGUUGCAAUACAAAAAUGUCUCAUUUUUAAAAGAUUUUUUAUUUUCUCUAUAUAAAUGCUUACUGCAUAUAUGGGUGUAUACUCUGUGCUUACCUAGUGCCUACAGAGGCUAGAAGAGGCAGAUCCCCUAGAACUGGAGUCACUUUGUGAGUGCUCUAGGAAAUGCUCUUACCUACUGAGCCACCUUUAGCCACCCCAAAUUUCUUUUUAAAGAUUGCAGUCUAAAUGCUUAAUUAAAAGCUUUUCUAUGUUGUAUCAGAAAAUUCAGAAACUUAUGGAACAUGAGUCAGAGCCAGGCAUGGUGAUACACGCCUUUAAUUUCAGUAUUUGAGAGGCAGAGACAGAUGGAUCUCUGAGUUUACGGUCAUCCCAGUCUAUAGCGUAAGUUCCAAGACAGCCAGGCCUAUACAGUGAAGCUCUGACUUGAAAAACCAAUAUGAGUUGAUAAAAGUUUGAAACCUUAUAUACAACAUUGCAGCUGUUUUGGUUUAACAUUUAUUUUACGUAUAUGAGUAUUUUGCUUCCAUGUAUGGCAGUGAAUUACAUUAGUGCUUGGUGCUGGAGGAGGGCAGAAAAGGGCAUUGGAUCCCCUGGAGCGGGAGUUAGGAUGAUUUUAAGCUGCAUCAAGACUGCUGGGAAUUGAACCUGGGUCUGGGUCCUCUGCAAGAACAAGUGUUCUUCACCACAGAGCCAUCUCUCCAGCCCCUUACAAGCAGCUCUUCUGAAGUUUUUAUUUGUUUUAGAUUGGUUCUUCCUGUGUAGUCCUGGCUGGCCUGGAACUUGCUGUAGACCAGACUGGCUUGGAACUCUCUUGCCUCUGCCUCCUGAGUGCUAGAAUUAAAGGCGUGUCACCACACCUGGUUAUAAUUUGAGAUAUUAAAGGUUCCUUUUUUACUUCAAAGUUAGUAGUUUCUGGAAGACUAGCAUGUAGUUAGGUGGCAAGCAUGGUGGUAACAUUAGAUUUCUGUACACUGUCUGUUUUAUUUCAGGGCCUGUCUGAGAAACUGUCUGAGCAAGAAUUAGAGUUUCGUCGUCGCAGUCAAGAACAAAUGGACAGCUUUACUCUGGACAUAAAUACUGCCUAUGCCAGGUUGAGAGGGAUUGAGCAGGCUGUUCAGAGUGAGCUCCCUUUCAUACGCUAUGGUCUGACCCUGUACAGUUUCUCAGGAUACUUUCUUGUUAAUAAUGGGGGCAUAGAGCCACUCCACUUUAUGAUGAUACUCCAUUCUUGAAGAGUUGGUCCCAGACUGGACAAGUUUAAGUAUAGAGUUUUG
rnacentral:lncRNA from 1 species